rnacentral:lncRNA from 1 species
GCCUGACCACGCCGGAGCCAAUCAGCGGCCCCCAAGCUUGUCUGAUUCUGUCUGCUCCAAUCAGGAGGCGCGGUCCUUCCAGCCUCUUGCUCCUGUGAAUCACAGGUCGGCGGGAGCCUUUUUUCCUUUUUUUUUUUUUCCCGGGGAGUCGGCCUCGGGGCUCUGCUCUCCUACCUCAGUCUGCCCUACCCUGGAAUGGGGAAAAUGCGGACAUGCCACUCAGUCCGGCCGCGAACAGUGCUCCAGAACUCAGAGAGUUUUCCAGACGGGUGGAGAUCGCGUUCCCUGCCCGCCGAGGUCCCAUCGCUUCCCUGCUGGGAAGACAAAUGAGGCGCUUUAGCCGUCUCCACGGCCAGCCCCUCCCUCAUAACCCGAGAUUCUUUGUGGGCUCUUAGUCCAUAGCUGCCUUUGAGGUGGUGUAGACCUUGCUAACCAGGACGGCCCAGUAGGCAGAGCUCAUUUUUAUUCCUGUCUGCAAUCGUGCAAAAACGCCUCUUAUGGAAAAGCCAGAGCGCCAGGAGUCAGCAAAACACACUAAAGAUUGGGCAGUCACUGGGGAGAACGUGAGUAAAAGCACAGGAACAGCAAAGCGUUCAGGAACGUUCGAGGCUGACGCAACCGGCGCAGGAAGGUGGUGUGUGGUGGGAGAGUGGGAGGAGACAGUGGAAAGUUUAGACUUGCUUCUGUAAGUGAUAAGAAGUCAUCAGAUAUUUUCAAGCAGGAGAGGAAAAUAAUCUCUCUGUUUCGCAAAGUUAACUCUCAUGGCAACAGAGCAGAGUAGCGGGGGGAUGGGGGCUGGGAGAUGUUGGGAAGCUAUUGUUACCACUCUGGUGAAGAGUCAUGGGACCUCAAAAGCUGGGAUAGUCACGGUGGGAAUGGAAAGGAAGGGCACAAGCUGAGAGGCAUUUGGGAGGAGAAUCAAUAGCACUUUAUUGACUGGAUGUGUGAGAUGAGUGAGGACAGCAAUCAGAAGAGGACUUUGAGGUUUCUAGCCUGAGUGGCUGGAAGGACACCACUUCCCCUACCUGAAAUAGGUAGCAAAAAGGAGAGAGAAAGAGAGAAGCAGAGGGAUUUUGCAAAGGGAAUAGGAGUUCAGUUUUUGACAUGUGGCAUUUGAAUUGCAAGAAGUACAUCCCUGUGGAUGUAAUACCCAGUAGACAGUUGGGAAUUAGGAUCUGGUGUCGAGAAGAAAAGUAGAGAUGAGAUCCAAAGGGUUUAUAGUGGAUCGGGAGAGAAAUUGAUGACCUAAAGAGAAAUUAUAGAAUAAGAAGAUUUGGGCAGGGCACGGUGGCUCAUGCCUGUAAUCCCAGCAUUUUGGGAGACCAAGGUAGGAGGAUUGCUUGAGCCCAGGAGUUUGAGACCAGCCUGGGCAACAUGGUGAGACCCCGACUCUACAAAAACUGCAAAAAUUAGCCGGGUGUGGUGACACAUACCUGUAAUUCCAGCUACUUGGGAGGCUGAGGUGGGGGGAUCACCUGAGCCUGGGGAGGUCUAGGCUGCAGUGAGCUGAGAUAGUGCCACUGCACUCCAACCUGGGCAACAUAGCAAGAGCAAGACCCUGUCUCAAAAGUAAAAAAAAAAAAAGAAGAUUCAAGUACAGAAUCUUGGGAAGGUAGAAAGAGGACACAGAGGCCAGGUGUGGUGGCUCAUGCCUGUGAUCCCAGCACUUUGGACGCUGAGGUGGGUGGAUCAUCUGAGGUCAGGAGUUCAAGACCAGCCUAGCCAACAUGGUGAAACCCUGUUUCUAUUAAAAAUUAUCCAGGCAUGGUGGCGGGCGCCUGUUAAUUCCAGCUUCUCGAGAGGCUGAGGUAGGAGAAUGGCUUGAACAUAGGAGGCAGAGGUUGCAGUGAGCUGAGAUUGUGCCACUACACUCCAGCCUGGGCAACAGAGUGAGACUCUGUCUCAAAAAAAAAAAAAAAAAAAAAGAGGACACAGAGCUAGCAAAACAGACAAAGAAGUAUCAGAAAGAUAUGAAAAAUUAAAAAAAAGCAAACUACGAUACUGUAAUAGAAAUAAGAAAAUAAUUCCAGGAAGAGGAAGCAGGACAUUGUUUAUGUAUGUACAAAACAGUAAGACAUUGGUUAAAUAAAUUAUAAAGCAUUCAUUUGAUAGAAUACAGCCAUUAAAAUUAUGUUGCAAAACUAUAUAAUUGCCAUAAAGAGAUGUUCAAUGCAUCUUUUUUCCCCCAGUGCAUCUUAGAAACACUCAGGUUAAAAAAUAGUAUAUAUGCUGGGCACGGUGGCUCACGUCUGUAAUCCUAGCACUUUGGGAGGCUGAGGCAGGUGGAUCACGAGGUCAGGAGUUUGAGACCACCCUGGCCAAUGUAGUGAAACCCUGUCUCUACCAAAAAUACAAAAUUAGCCCGGCAUGGAGGCAGGUGCCUGUAAUCCCAGCUACUUGGGAGGCUGAGGCAGGAGAAUCACUUGAACCUGGGAGGCAGAUGUUGCAGUGAGCAGAGAUUGUGCCACUGCACUCCAGCCCAAGUGACAAUGCGAGACUCCAUCUCAAAAUAAAAAAAAGUAUAUAUAUAUGUGUGUAUAUAUAUGUAUAUAUAUGUGUAUAUAUGUAUAUAUGUGUGUAUAUAUGUAUAUAUGUGUGUAUAUAUGUAUAUAUGUGUAUAUAUGUAUAUAUAUGUGUAUAUAUGUGUAUAUAUGUGUAUAUAUGUAUAUAUAUGUGUAUAUAUGUGUGUAUAUAUGUGUGUAUAUAUGUGUAUAUAUGUGUGUAUAUAUGUAUAUAUGUGUAUAUAUGUGUGUAUAUAUGCGUAUAUAUGUGUGUAUAUAUGUAUAUAUAUGUGUGUGUAUAUGUAUAUAUAAUUGUACCAUUUUUAAAAAUUACAUAUGUGACUGCAAAAAGGCAUGAGAAGGCUGGGUGGCUCAUGCCUGUAAUCCCAGCACUUUGGGAGGCCAAGGCAGGCUGAUCACCUGAGGUCAGGAGUUUGAGACCAGCCUAGCCAAUAAUUGUUAUACAAAAUAGAACAAUUUUUGUAUUUUGUAAAAAUACAAAAAUUAGCCAGGUGUGGUAGCACAUGUCUGUAGUCCCACUUACUCAGGAGGCUGAGGCAGGAGAAUCCCUUGAACCCAAGAGGCGGAGGUUGCAGUGAGCUGAGAUUGCACCACUGUACUACAGCCUGGGUGACAGAGUGAGACACCGUCUCAAAAAAAAAAAAGGCAUGAGGAAACUUUUAGGAUGAGGGAACUGUUCUAUAUGUUUGUUGAGGUAAUGUAUACACAGCUCUGUACAAUUAUCCAAAAUCCUCAUAAGGGAGGAGACCACCCCUCAUAUUGUCUUAUGCCCAAUUUCUGCCUCCAAAGAAAGAAGAAGUAAAAACUUAAAGACAGAAAUGAAAUCCACAGGCAGACAGCCCGGCGCCACACCCUGGGCCUGGUAGUUAAAGAUCGACCCCUGACCUAAUCAGUUAUGUUAUCUCUAAAUUACAGUCAUUGUGUGGAAAAGCACUGUGAAAAUCCCUGUCCUGUUCUGUUCUGUUCUAAUUACCAGUGCAUGCAGCCCCCAGUCACAUACCCCUUGCUUGCUCAAUCGAUCAAGACCCUUUCACGCGGACCCCCUUAGAGUUGUCAGCCCUUAAGAGGGACAGGAAUUGCUUACUCAGGGAGCUCGGUUUUUGAGACGUGAGUCUUGCCGAUGCUCCCGGCCAAAUAAAGCCCUUCCUUCUUUAACUCGGUGUCUAAGGGGUUUUGUCUGCGGCUCGUCCUGCUACACUCAAACUAGAAUUCCUUAAAUUUUUAUUUUUUAUUUUAUUUAUUUUUUUUUAGAGACUGAGUCUCACUCUGUCAUCCAGGCUGGAGUGCAAUGGCAUGCUCUCGGCUCACUGCAACCUCCACCUCCCAGGUUCAAGUGAUUCUCCUGCCUCAGCCCCUGGAGUAGCUGGGAUUACAGGUGUGCAGCACCACGCCCAGCUAAUUUUUGUAUUUUUAGUAGAGACGGGGUUUCACCAUGUUGGCCAGGCUGGUCUCGAACUCCUGACCUCAGGUGAUCUGCCCACCUCGGCCUCCCAAAGUGCCAGGACCACAGCACGGAGGAGGCGAGACUGGGAGCAAGGCCCGGAGUAUGGGUAAAGGCCACACCUGGGCCUCUAAAACAAAACCACCAACAAAUAAAAGACCCUAGAAUGGGUCCAGACAAAAAGGAAAGUUGAGAAACUGAAAACUUUAAGACUGAAAAAGGGCUCUGGGCAUGGUGACUCAUGCCUAUAAUCCCAACACUUUGAGAGGCCAACAUAGGAGAAUUGCUUGAGCCCAGGAGUUCAAGACCAGCCUGGACAACAUACGGAGACCCUGUCUCUACAAAAAAUAAAAAAUAAUUAGUGGGAUGUGGUGGUACACGUCUGUGGUCCCAGCUACUUGGGAGGCUGAGGUGGGAGGAUUGCUUGAGCCUGAGAGGUUGCGGCUUUGGUGAGCCACAAUCACACCACUGUAGUCCCGCCUGGGUAACAGAGCGAGACUGUCUCAAAAAAAAAAAAAGGGGGGGGAAGGUUUAUGAGGGACCUUGGUAGCUGACUUAGAAUAUGACACAAAUGAGGAAAUAAACCUAUUCCUUAUUGUCCAGAGGGUUGAAUAAAGGAAUAAAACUAUGUGGGAAUGAGAGCAAGCAUGGCUAUGGACAGGAAGGCAGCUCAAAUAACUUGAGCUGUUCUACAGUGUCUUGGGAGGAAUAAGCUGCUUCUCUCACCAUAUUUGUUCAACUCGUCCAAGAUUCUGUAAACAUGUUCCUGAAUGGGAUGAGAUAAUGGAUUAGAUACCUCUUAGGUUCCACCUAGUUUUAAGACUAUGAUAUAAAGCACAUCAAAGCUCUUCAACCAAACAUAAGGUAAUAGGAGUUAUGUUAUUUUCAGUCUAUGGAAUGGAUGUCAAUCUCAUCUCUUUUGAUUGUCAAGCUAGUUCCCAUUUCUUCAUGGUUUUGAUCAAAUCUGUUUAAGCUGUCUUUAUGAUCUGGACUAGGUGAGCUUAAAGUGAUCAUACCUGGCUGAUAAAUACUAAUUGCAUUUCUAAGUAGGCCGCUGGUAGAAAUUUAAUUAUUUGGUUUUAAUGUGAGCUGUUUUGUUUUGUUUUGUUUUGUUUUUUGAGACAGAGUCUCGCUCUGUCGCCAGGCUGGAGUGCAGUGGCGUGAUCUUGGCUAACUGCAACCUCCGCCUCCCGGGUUCAAGCAAUUCUCCUGCCUCAGCCUUCCGAGUAGCUGGGACUACAUGUGUGCCCACCACACCUGGCUAAUUUUUUAUUUUUAGUAGAGAUAGGGUUUCACCAUAUUGGCCAGGAUGGUCUUGAUCUCCUGACCUCGUGAUCUGCCCACCUUGGCCUCCUGAAGUGCUGGGAUUAUAGGGGUAAGCCACCAUGCCCGGCCCUUAAUGUUAGUUCUUAUUAUACUUCAUAUCUAUAUCAUUCAUUUUGCAUACUAUGGUACAAUAGAGAAACCAUUAGGCUAGGAGUCAGUGUGACCCAGUUUCAAGUACUGGUUCUACUACUUAAUAGAUGUAUGGCUUUGGGGAAAGGCAUUUAUGCAGAGGUUUUCGAUGUGUAGUCCAUGGACCCCUGAGCGUACCCCAAAUAAUUUUCAGGGUAUCCAUAAGACCAAAAUGAUGUUCAUGGUGAUAUUAAGCCUUAUUUGCCUUUUUUCACCAUCACAUUGACAUUUCUUCUGAUGGUGGGAAAUUCUUUGCACCUUGAUAGGAAUCACGGUAGUAGCACCAAACUGUACCAGUGGGCAUUACAUUCCUCACUGCCCUGCACUUGGAGGGGAAUUCAGUCCCCCAGGCUGGAAUGCAAUGAUCUCGGCUCACUGCAACCUCUGCCUCCUGGGUUCAAGCGAUUCUCCUGCCUCAACUUCCCAAGUAACUAGGAUUACAGGUGCCUGCCACCACGCCUGGCUAAUUUUUGUAUUUUUAGUAGUUUCACCAUGUUGGCCAGGCUGGUCUCGAACUCCUGGCCUCAGGUGAUCCACCUACCUUGGCCUUCCAAAGUGCUGGGAUUACAGGUGUGAGCCACCAUGCCCAGCCAAGAUGUUCUUGAUAAAAUAAAAAUUAUUAAUUUAUUAAAUUUUGAUCCUUAAGAGCACCUUUUAAAAAUUCUGUGGCAUGAAAUGGGAAGUAGGAAGUACUUAUAAAGUACUUCUGCUAUAUGUCAAAGAACAGUGGUUGUCUUGAGGGAAAACAUUAGUGUGAUCAUUAUAGUUGUGAGCUGAAUUAACCCCUUUAUUCAUGUAAUAUCCUUUUUGUUUGAAAGAAUGACUGACAAACUGGUUGUUCAGACUUUGGUAUUUUGCAGCUUCAAGAACAUUAAUAAAGUAAAAUUGUUACUUCAAAGUAACAACUUGCAAUAUUUGUUCCAAUGAUAAAAUUUGAGCUUUUGGCAGUGGCUCAUGCCUAUAAUCCCAGCACUUAGGGAGGCUGAGGCGGGAGGAGCACUUGAGCUCAGGAGUUUGAGACCAGCCUGGGCAGUCUCUCCAAAAAGAAAAAAAAAAUUAGCCAGGCAUGGUGGCAUGCACCAGCUGAGGUGGAAGGAGCACUUGAGCCUGGGAGGCCAAGGCUGCAGUGAGCCAUGAUUGUACCACUGCACUCCAGCCCAGGCAACAGAGCAAGAUCUUGUCAAAAAAAAAAAAAAAAGAAAAAAGAAAAGAAAAAAUAGCUUUCAAGCAAAACUCAGAAUUGUAGUGAUCUUGCAUGUGGUACUAAGCUUGACAGCUUCCUAAUAAUUAAAAACUCUUCUGAUGCUAUCAGUGGUGAUGUUCAAAAAUGUCAAUUUUUAAAUAUUAUAGAAUAAAAUGUGCCAACAUUUUAGAAGAUUUGCAUAACUCAGUGAACCAAUACUUUUCAAAUGACCAAAACAUAAUGUUACAAAAUCAUGCAUGGAUAAAAGGUGCAUUGAAAAUGCAAAUGAGGCCAGGUGUGGUGGCUCAUGCCUCUAAUCCCAGCAUUUUGGGAGGCAGAGGCUGGAGGAUCACUUGAGGCCAGGCAUUUGAGACCAGCCUGGCCAACAUAGCAAGAUCCUAUCUCUAAAAAUAAUAAGAGUAAGAGAAUUAGCCAGGCAUGGUGGCAUGCGCGUGAAGUCUUAGCUACUUGGGAGGCUACGGUGGGAGGAUGGCUUGAGCUUAGGAGUUUGAGGUUACAGGAAGCUAUGAUUGUGCCACUGCCCUCCAGCCUGGGUGAUGGAGUAAGACCAUGUUUCAAAAACAAAACAAAAAAAAAAGAAAUGCAAGUUAGACCAAUGAAGUAUAAUGUAAUGAAAUACAAAAAAUUCAUUGCUAUGGUUUCAAAUUCCCAGUGCAAUUAACCUUUAAGAUACUACGUGUCAGGCCUCUGAGCCCAAACUAAGCCAUCAUAUCCCCUGUGACCUGCAUGUAUACAUACAGAUGGCCUGAAGCAACUGAAGAUCCACAAAAGAAGUGAAAAUAGCCUUAACUGAUGACAUUCCACCAUUGAGAUUUGUUCCUGCCCCACCCUAACUGAUACGAUAUAUUCUCCCCCGCCCUUAAGAAGGUACUUUGUGAUAUUCUCCCUGCCCUUGAGAAUGUACUUUGUACGCCUAUCCCAAACCUAUAAGAACUAAUGAUAAUCCCACCACCCUUUGUUGACUCCUUUUUAGACUCAGCCCGCCUGCACCCAGGUGAAAUAUACAGCCUUGUUGCUCACACAAAGCCUGUUUGGUGGUUUCUUCACACGGAUGCAUGUGACAUUUGGUGCUGAAGACCCAGGACAGGAGGACUCCUUUGGGAGACCAGUGCCCUGUUGUCGCCCUCACUCCGUGAGGAGAUCCACCUAUGAUCUCAGGUCCUCAGACCAACCAGCCCAAGGAACAUCUUGCCAAUUUCAAAUCGGGUAAGUGGUCUUUUCACUCUUCUCCAGCCUUUCUUGCUACCCUUCAAUCUUCCUCUCUCACUACCCUUCAAUCUCCCUGUCCUUCCAAUUCCCGUUCUUUUUCCUCUCUAGUAGAGAUAAGGAGACACAUUUUAUCUGUGGACCCAAAACUCCAGCGUCAGUCACGGACUCGGGAAGACAGUCUUCCCUUGGUGUUUAAUCACUGUGGGGACGCCUGCCUGAUUAUUCACCCACACUCCAUUGGUGUCUGAUCACCACGGGGAUGCCUGCCUUGGUCAUUCACCCACAUUCCCUUGGUGACAAGUCAAUUGCGGGGACACCUGCUUUGGCUGCUCACCCACAUUGCAGCCCAGGGCUGCUCAAUGCCCCCCGCUGCCCCACCCGCCUUCUCCGUGCCUCUACCCUCUCUUUUCUCGGGUUUACCUCCUUCACUAUGGGCAACCUUCCACCCUCCAUUCCUCCUUCUUCUCCCUUAGCCUGUGUUCUCAAAAACUUAAAACCUCUUCAACUCACACCUGACCUAAAACCUAAGUGUCUUAUUUUCUUCUGCAACACCGCUUGGCCCCAAUACAAACUCGACAAUGAUUCCAAAUAGCCAGAAAACGGCACUUUCGAGUUCUCCAUCCUACAAGUUCUAGAUAAUUCUUGUCAUAAAAUGGGCAAAUGGUCUGAGGUGCCUGACGUCCAGGCAUUCUUUUACACAUUGGUCCCUCCCUAGUCUCUGCUCCCAAUGUGACUCAUCCCAAAUCUUUCUUCUUUCUCUCCUUUCUGUUCCUUCGGUCUCCACCCCAAGUUCCGAGUCCUCUGAAUCCUUCUUUUCUAUGGACUCAUCUGACCUCCCCCCUUCUCCCCAGGCUGCUCCUCGCCAGGCUGAGCCAGGUCCCAAUUCUCACUUAGCCUCUGCUCCCCCACCCUAUAAUCCUUUUAUCACCUCCCCUCCUCACACCUGGUCCAGCUUACAGUUUCGUUCCUCGACUAGCUCUCCCCGAUCUGCCCAACAAUUUCCUGUUAAAGAGAUGGCUGACUAUCCUGACUUCAUCAGAGCAGGCUGGUGCCUGGCCUUCCUGGAAUGAGUGGGUGUUCUGACAGGCCCCCAGUUUGUCCCAUCUGCACCGCCAAGAGGUCUCCGGGUGGCCAGAGGAGCAAAGUUGCCUUCCAAGUGCCUGUUGGUGCCUGGGAGAACACAGCAGGAGUGUCGUGCGGCCCACAGCGCAGUGCAUGGUGAUUCCAGGCGCUGAACAACUCCCCUUGACCCUUGGGCCUGCAUCUGACUCCCGGCUGCAGAAUCAGAAGCUGAGUCCAGGCAACCGCUCGGCCACUCCCGGUCACUCCUCUCUGGACACCCAGUUACUAAAGUCAGCAAAGAAGAUGCGGUAAUCACCGCCUGAUCUCCACAUGGUGAACACAACACUCUCACUAACACCUCCUUGACCAGUCAGUCUUCAGCACUGGGGGUGGACAGGCAGGUUUUCUGUGUUUACCAGAAUCGCACAGGCUAAGCACAAACAUGGAACCAGAGUUCCAGGUGAGGAAACCUCACUCGCAGAAGCCCAGGCUGCACCCCACCAGGUGAUGCAGUGCGCCUAGGCUGUGGGUGCUAGGAGCCAAGUGCUAGGGACUCGUCAUGAGUGGGAAUCCCCACGUUCCUGUCACUGCUGUCAAACAGAAGGUAAACAGUCUUACGAAUGUAAUUCCUUAGGAAGACUUGUACAAACUUUUAUUAGGAUAUCUAUUUAUUUAAUACUGAACUUUGGCCUACUUUGUGAUAAGACUAUAAACAAAUUGAGGAAAUCACUAUUUCUCACUUCUGUAUUUCUCAAAAAAUAAUUUUGUUACAGAGUUCAAUAUACUGUGUACUACUGAUCUUCUAUUGUGAAAGCAAAGCAUUUCAUCAAAACAAAGUAUUUUAAAUUAUGAGUGAAAAUUGUGUAUGUUAAUUUUGCAGCUGUAAUAUUAAUCAAACUUUGUGUAAUUCUAAUCACAAAAUGAUGUGCCUUAAAUGCCCCUCCAGCUGUGGGUUGGCAGUGUCCAGACAGGGACCCUGAAAUCCUGAAUGACUGCUAGACCAAUUCUAUUAAAAACAUUUCAAGGCAAAAAAAAAAAAAAAAGAGGUGGCUGGAGCUGAAGGCGUAGUCAAGGUUAAUGCUCCUUUUUCUUCAUCUGACCUCUCCCAAUCAGUUAGCGUUUAGGCUGUUUUUCAUCAAAUAUAAAAACCCAGCCCAGUUCAUGGCCCAUUUGGCAACAACCCUUAGAUGCUUUACCGCCCUAGACCCAGAGGGGCCAGAAGGCCGUCUUAUUCUCAAUAUGCAUUUUAUUACCCAACCCGCUCCGGACAUUAGAAAAAGCUCCAAAAAUUAGAUUCCAGCCCUCAAACCCCACAACAGGACUUAAUUAACCUCACCUUCAAGGUGUACAGUAAUAGAGUAGAGGCAACAUAUUUCUGAGUUGCAAUUACUUGCCUCCACUGUGAGAGAAACCCCAGCCACAUCUCCAGCACACAAGAACUUCAAAACACCUGAAUCGCAGCGGCCAGGUGUUCCUCCAGGACCGCCUCCCCCAGGAUCUUUCUUCAAGUGCUGGAAAUCUGGUCACUGGGCCAAGGAAUGCCUGCAGCCUGGGAUUCCUCCUGAGCCAUGUCCCAUCUGUGCCAGACCCUACUGGAAAUCAGACUGUCCAACUUACCCAGGAGCCACUCCCAGAGCUGCUGGAACUCUGGCCCAAGACUCUCUGACUCCUUCCCAGAUGUUCUCGGCUUAGCGGCUGAAAACUGAUGCUGCCCAAUCGCCUCAGAAGCCUCUUGGACCAUCACAGAUGCUUUGGGUAACUCUUACAGUGAAGGGGAAGUCUGUCCCCUUCUUAAUACAGAGGCUACCCACUCCACAAUACCUUCUUUUCAAGGGCCUGUUUCCCUUGCCUCCAUAACUGUUGUGGGUAUUGAUGGCCAGGCUGCUAAACCUGUCAAAACUCCCCAACUCUGGUGCCAACUUGGACAACAUUCUUUUAUACACUCUUUUUUAGUUAUCCCUACCUGCCCAGCUCCCUUAUUAGGUCAAGACAUUUUAACCAAAUUAUCUGCUUCCCUGACUGUUCCUGGACUACAGCCACACCUCAUUGCCGCCCUUUUCCCCAGUUCAAAGCCUCCUUCGCAUCCUCCCCUUGUAUCUCCCCACCUUAAUCCACAAGUAUGGGACACCUCUAUUCCCUCCUUGGCAACCGAUCAUGCACCCCUUACCAUCCCAUUAAAACCUAAUCACCCUUACCCCACUCAAUGCCAAUAUCCCAUCCCACAGCACACUUUAAAAGGAUCCCACAGCACACUUUAAAAGGAUUAAAGCCUGUUAUCACUCGCCUGCUAUAGCAUGGCCUUCUAAAGCCUAUAAACUCUCCUUACAAUUCCCCCAUUUUACCUGUCCAAAAACCAGACAAGUCUUACAGGUUAGUUCAGGAUCUGUGCCUUAUCAACAAAAUUGUCUUGCCUAUGCACCCCAUAGUGCCAAACCCAUAUACCCUCCUAUCCUCAAUACCUCCCUCCCACAACCCAUUAUUCUGUUCUAAAUAAACCUAGCUGACCCCAUAAAUCCUAAAUCCUUUCCCCACUCCCCUUUCCAUUCCUUAAAAAACAGCCCUAAAAGCUGCUCCCACACUAGCUCUCCCUAACUCAUCCCAACUUUUUCAUUACACACAGCCAAAGUGCAGGGCUGUGUGGUCGGAAUUCUUACACAAGAGCCAGAAGCAUGCCCUGUAGCCUUUCUGUCCAAACAACUUGACCUUACUGUUUUAGCCUAGCCCUCAUGUCUGUGUGUGGUGGCUGCUGCUGCUUUGAUACUUUUAGAGGCCCUCAAAAUCACAUUAUGCUCAACUCACUCUCUACAGUUCUCAUAACUUCCAAAAUCUAUUUUCUUCCUCAUACCUGACGCAUAUACUUUCCACUCCCUGGCUCCUUCAGCUAUACUCAACUCUUUUUUGAGACAGAGUCUCACUCCGUCUCCCAGGCUGGCAUGCAGUGGCACAAUCUUGGCUCACUGCAACCUCCGCUUCCCAGGUUCCAGCGAUUCUCCUGCCUCAGCCUCUGGAGUAGCUGGGAUUACAGGUGUGUGCCCCACACCCGGCUAAUUUUUUGUAUUUUUAGUAGAGAUGGGGUUUCACCAUGUUAACCAAGCUGGUCUUGAACUCCUGACCUAAAGUGAUCUGCCCAUCUCGGCCUCCCAAAGUGCUGGGAUUACAGGCAUGAGCCACCACACCCAGCCUAUACUCACUCUUUGCUGAGUCUCCCACAAUUACCAUUGUUCCUGGCCUGGACUUCAAUCCGGCCUCCCACAUUAUUCCUGAUACCACACCUGACCUCCAUGACUAUCUCUCUGAUCCACCUGGCAUUCACUCCAUUUCCCCAUAUUUCCUUCUUUCCUGUUCCUCACCCUGAUCACACUUGGUUUAUUGAUGGCAGUUCCACCAGGCCUAAUCGCCAUUCACCGGCAAAGGCAGGCUAUGCUAUACUAUCUUCCACAUCUAUCCUUGAGGCUACCGCUCUGCCCCGCUCCACUACCUCUCAGCAAGCCAAACUCAUUGCCUUAACUCGGGCCCUCACUCUUGCAAAGGGACUACGUGUCAAUAUUUAUACUGACUCUAAAUAUGCCUUUCAUAUCCUCCACCACCAUGCUGUUAUAUGGGUUGAAAGAGGUUUCCUCACUAUGCAAGGGUCCUUCAUCAUUAGUGCCUCUUUAAUAAAAACUCUUCUCAAGGCUGCUUUACUUCCAAAGGAAGCUGGAGUCAUUCACUGCAAGGGCCAUCAAAAGGCAUCAGAUCCCAUCACUCAGGGCAACGCUUAUGCUGAUAAGGUAGCUAAAGAAGCAGCUAGCAUUCCAACUUCUGUCCCUCAGGGCCAGUUUUUCUCCUUCUUAUCGGUCACUCCCACCUACUCCCUCAUUGAAACUUCCACGUAUCAAUCUUUUCCCACACAAGGCAAAUGGUUCUUGGAUCAAGGAAAAUAUCUCCUUCCAGCCUCACAGGCCCAUUCUAUUCUGUCGUCAUUUCAUAACCUCUUCCGUGUAGGUUACAAGCCGCUAGCCCAUCUCUUAUAACCUCUCAUUUCAUUUCCAUCGUGAAAAUCUGUCCUGAAGAAAAUCACUUCUCAGUGUUCAUCUACUAUUCUACUAUCCCUCAGGGAUUGUUCAGGCCCCUUCCCUUCCCUACACAUCAAGCUGGGGAAUUUGCCCCUGCCCAGGACUGGCAAAUUGACUUUACUGACAUGUGCCGAGUCAGGAAACUAAAAUACCUCUUGGUAUGGGUAGACACUUUCACUGGAUGGGUACAGGCCUUUCCCACAGGGUGUGAGAAGGCCACCACGGUCAUUUCUUCCCUUCUGUCAGACAUAAUUCCUCCAUUUAGCCUUGCCACCUCUAUACAGUGUGAAAACAGACCGGCCUUUAUUAGUCAAAUCACCCAAGCAGCUUCUCAGCCUCUUGGUAUUUAGUGGCUCCUGGUUUUACCUCAAAACACCACCCUUAAGGCUCUCUUGAAGUGGAUAGAUCUUCAGUGGCAAGGUACCCUCCGAUACUUUCACCCUGAUGAAGUCCUAUUCUUUACUUUUAUACUCAUUCUUAUUCUGGUUCCCGAUCUUAUGCCACCCUCUACCUCUCCCCAGCUAUCUCCACCACACUAUCAAUCUCACUCUCUCCUAGCCCCGUUUAUAAUCCUUCUUUUUUUUUUGAGAUGGAGUCUUGCUCUGUCCCCCAGGCUGGAGUGCAGUGGUGUGAUCUUGGCUCACUGCAAGCUCCGCCUCCUGGGUUCACACCAUUCUCCUGCCUCAGCCUCCCAAGUAGCUGGGACUAGAGGUGCCUGCCACCAUGCCUGGCUAAUUUUUUGUAUUUUUAGUAGAGAUGGGGUUUCACCAUGUUAGCCAGGAUGGUCUCCAUCUCCUGACCUCACGAUCCGCCCACCUCAGCCUCCCAAAGUGCUGGGAUUACAGGCGUGAGCCACUAUGCCCGGCCCUCUAAUCCUUCUUUAACAAACAACUGCUGGCUUUGCAUUUCUCUUUCCUCCAAAAUCGCCAAGGCCUCGACUUACUCACUGCUAAAAAAAGAGGACCCUGUAUAUUUUUAAACGAAGAGUGUUGUUUUUACCUAAAUCAAUCUGGCCUGGUGUAUGACAACAUAAAAAAACUCAAGGAUAGACCCCAAAAAUUCGCCAACCAAGCAAAUAAUUAUGCUGAACCCCCUUGGGCACUCCCUAAUUGGAUGUCCUGGGUCCUUCCAAUUCUUAGUCCUUUAAUACCUAUUUUUCUCUUUCUCUUAUUCGGACCUUGUGUCUUCCUUCUGUUUAGUUUCUCAAUUCAUACAAAACUGCAUCCAGGCCAUCAACAAUCAUUCUAUACGACAAAUACUCCUUCUAACAAGCCCACAAUAUCACCCCUUAUACCCAAAUCUUUCUUCAGUUUAAUCUCUCCUACUCUAGGUUCCCAUGCCACCCCAAUCCCACUCAAAGCAGCCCCGAGAAACAUCGCCCAUUAUCUCUCCAUACCACCCCCAAAAAUUUUCGCUGCCUCAACACUUCACCACUAUUUUGUUUUGUUUUUCAUACUAAUAUAAGAAGAUAGGAGUGUCAGGCCUCUGAGUCCAAGCUAAGCCAUCAAAUCCCCUGUGACCUGCACGUGUACAUCCAGAUGACCUGAAGCAACUGAAGAUCCACAAAAGAAGUGAAAGUAGCCUUAACUGAUGACAUUCCACCAUUGUGAUUUGUUCCUGCCCCACGCUAACUGAUACCAUAUAUUCUUCCCCCGCCCUUGAGAAUGUACUUUGUACACCUAUCCCAAACCUAUAAGAACUAAUGAUAAUCCUACCACCCUUUGCUGACUCUCUUUUUGGACUCAG